AAGUUGCAAAGAACUUUGAAGAGAGAGUUCAAGAGGACGUGAAAUCGCUUAGAAGGAAGCGGAUAGAGCCGAUGAUAGUCGCCAGUAUUCAGGUGGGCUGCGGCGUGCACGGCGGAUGCAGAUCGCAAGACUGCACUCCGUCGCUCGGGCGUCGUACCCUACUGCAUUUGCUGGCGAUGUGCACUUGGCACGGUGGCCGGGCGUUUCGAACACUUGAACUGUUGGCGCAACCUUCGGGCGGUGCCCAUUCUCGUGCUACACUCGUCCCGCGCUACCGUUACCCACGACGCUCGCCUUUGGUGCAAACGUGCGUCGCUGCGGCGGCAAUCUGGCAACUAGCGCUUGCGCUACAGCCAGUAUCUGCUGUCGCACGGCGUACGCUAUUGCGCUAGCGUUAGCCUAGUGUCAAAGUUGGCCACCUAUCCGACCCGUCUUGAAACACGGACCAAGGAGUCUAACAUGUGCGCGAGUCAUUGGGUGCUGAAAACCUAAAGGCGCAAUGAAAGUAAAGUCGAUCUCUCGGUCGACGAUAUGAGACCGGUGACACUCGCUGUUGCCGUGCAUCAUAGUCCCAUUCCGAUGGCACACCCAUGGAGUGGAGACAGAGCGGACAUGUUGGGACCCGAAAGAUGGUGAACUAUGCCUGAGCCGGACGAAGCCAGAGGAAACUCUGGUGGAAGUUCGAAGCGAU
rnacentral:rRNA from 1 species